UUGACAUGUCAGACUUAUUGCAAUUAAGUUUUAUGGAUGUACUCUUGAAACUGUGUGUAUUUUAAUUCUCACUCCAGGUACUCCAUUGUAAAUGCAUUACUGUAAACACGAUUUUUUGAGUCUAUCUAUCUUGUGACUUUAAACUUUCUUUAAAAAGUACUUUAAAAUUAUUCUUUUAUGUGUAAAAAAAAUCAUGAGGGAAAAAUAUUGAGUGCACCUUUAAGGGGCGUUCACACAUAACAAGCAGCGUCACGCUUAAGUCGUCCAAUUUCCUUGAAAAUACUUGUACAUUAGAUUCAAAACGUCAAUUUGCUUGUUAAACAAAACUUUUUAGAUUUUAAUUGGGAAGCUGUAUAAUUCAACUGAGGCCUUUCAAGGGCAGCCUAGUGAAAAUGGCCUCAGUACAGCGCCUGUAGAACAUUAUUUGUAUAUAUCUUUCAACUUUAUUAACAAAUAGACCUAGUUUAGUUGCAGAUCUUUCAUUUACCACAACUGCGAUGUAUAUCACACAAGUUAGUCGCGAUUAUUCAUAUUAUUUCAGCAUUUUGAAUGGGCGCGCGAGACGCCAAAUUCUUCCCGCUAAAAGUGCGAGGAGCUGCGCGCGCACUUCUAGUCUGACAGGAGGACGGGUUUCUGAGAUGAUCCACGUGAGUUUUCCGCUGCUGGAAAGUGAAGACAUUGACCCCGAGCGGCCGAACCUGCAGUAUUAAACGGUCUGGUGCUAAAUGCAUCAGCGCUGAAGCUCAGGGCUGAGCUGUGAUUGCCAUUAAGUGAUCCAUCAUUUGACAGUGAAUUUGGGCCUGGAGUUGAGUGGCCUCAUAUGCCUCUUCAGAGAUCUGUCCCCUUGCAGGGAUUCUUGUGACAGGAUGCUGGAUGCUCAAAGACUCAUGCCAGGGGAAUUAUUAAGUUUGCCCACAAAACCAGUGCAAAUAACUCAGCGCUGACCUGCCGGAUGGCUUUGGAAGGGCAACCUCCCAGAGGGAGGGCGUUCGGAGCUUAAUUAGAAUGUCAGGAGACACUUUCAAAGUAGUCUGAGAUGAGAGUCCACUCCAAUGGGAAACCUGAGCCGAUCGUCUUUCCCAGUUCAAGGCAAACUGCUGAAUGGGAUCAGACACAAGGAAUCACACCUUCCACGACGGCUCCACUGGUAGCAUCUCGCUGAGGUCAAGUCGUUUUCGUGACGGCCUCCCUGAAGCGGCAGCUGGCCAGGAUAAGGUUACGAUUUCACCUGCGCACUGCAGUAACGCAGGAACUGGCGUGUCAUUGAGGAGCGGGGAUCCAAGAGAAAGAUCUCCAUCUGGGUCAGAGUACAGCGAACCGGCGAACCCUCAGAAGUGACCAUUUAUACAAGAGUUCAGGAGUCUGUGCGGCGUCCCGAACCGUGUGGGUUUGAAGCCUUGGACCGCGGUGAAGGGGUUAUUUGAGCAGAUGCUGUGCAUUCUUGGGUUUGUUCGAGCGGAUCCCUCCUCAUGAGCGGAGGCUUUACUUUCCCAAAGCUGAUAUUAAUAUCACAGACCAUUGUGAUGGAGUUAUUUUCAUGGAAGCCCAGGAGGAAGUCAUGUGACACUAAUUAGUCCCCGGGGGCCGCAGGGUCUCCAUUACGUGCCUUGUUUUAACUCACAUAACCAUCAAUGAAGUGGAAAGGCUGAGGAAGUAGCAAUCACUGCGCCUGGGCGGCUGGUUUUAUUUUAAUGUUUUCUUGAGCACCUAUUUUGUUAAUGGGCUGAGAAAAAAAAAAGUGUCUUCUCUCUUUUUUCCCCCGUGACAUUAUUUUUUAGCUUUAAAAAUGAUGAAAUGAUCAUGUGAGCAUUAACUCUGAUCCACUAGCGGGAAGAUUAAUGAUUCUGGGAUUUGUUGGUUCACACCCUGUACAGCACAUGGGAAAAAUCAGGAAAGACAGACACAACCAUUAAAUGUGUCGUUCGUGUUUGCCAGCACCUUAUGAACUCUAAUCUAUGACAUCAAUAUUGUGUUUUAUACAUAUAUAUAUAUAAGUUUUUAAUAAAACUCCAAUAAAAAUAUUAUGAAAGAGUACAAAAACAUAAAAUAGAUAGAUAAUUUUUUUUUUUCAAUUUUCACCAAUUUUCACCUAUUUUUUCCCCCCAGACAAAUCUAAAGGGAUUUUAUAAAAGAUUAACAAGAAAAUAUUCCUUAAAAAACAUGUUUCGUCUGAAACAUUUCGAUGUAAAAUUCACCUUUAAGUUCACUUAUUUGAUAAAAGAAACUGAAAAAUUACUUUAUUGAUACUAUUUCAGUCUUUCUUGCUGUAUCUUUGUAAUUAUUUGUGAAAUUUCCUUGCAAUUUCUAAGUGAAAAUUGCUGUAACUAAUAUGAUUUAAAUGUUCAAAAAUUAUGACACAUAUGAUGGGAACAUGAACAUAAACAUCAUAGCAUGACCCAAAUGCUUCUGACUUCAAAAUCCCGCUCAGUGCAGCGAACAGAUUUUCUCCGUCAGAAAGGUAGCUACUUAAACACGUGACAGCAAUAACAGACAGUGCCACAUGCACACUUCCCAUAAUUCUGUGAAUUCACCUCUCUUCCUGACCUAAUAGCUUCCAUUUACUGCUGGGCCCGUUCCAAAGGAAAGUGUAGAGUUGGGCCAAAAUCUGCGGACAGCUACUGAUGAGAUCUGCCGAGUCCAAAAAUGUGAGCGUAAUAAAACAGCGGCAUGAGGAAAAGCUGGACGUCCUCCUGGGCUGCAUUAGCGAGGUGAGAUUAUUCUGAAAUUAGGCUUGCAACUGACAUUCUCAUAUAAUGUGUUUUGGAAGGCAUUAAGGAAGAUGGACGGUGUGUUUUUGAGCGUUCGUGAAUAGAGGACGAUGAAUUGUUUGAAUAACAAUAUGGCGGACGGGAGUAGAAUUAUUCAGUGUAAUUGUUCCAGAUUCUUUAAUUGGUCAUGGGCCGAACACUAUGUGCUGAAACGAACAAAUGUGGCUGAAUGUAUUCUCCAUAUUUCGGCCGUCCAGACGGUAAUACAAUGAAUGUGAAAUGAGAGACUGAAGAUGUAUCGUAUUGAAUCUCUUCCUUGGACCAUCGUCAGGAUGCAUUUAUGGUUUUUCCUUUAGCAGUGAGCAGGUCAAAGGGCGACGCGAGGUCGUGACAGAACACAAUCAUCCAUUAACGCUUAAACAGACAUGAAUGGAAAAGGCAGCAGUUCAGGGUCAUCAGAUCGGAUCCUACUUAUGCAACGAAAGCAUUACCACAUGGAGGACGGAAAACAGAGUAACAAUGCUUUCCAGAGCAGCACAUGUCCAAAACUAAUGUAGGAAAUUAUAUAUCACUGAGAAAACUGAGUCGCGGUCAAUUAAAGACAUUAGGAGAACUUUGUACUAUAAAUACUAUUAAAAAUUGUGUGAUAGAUUGAUUAUAUUUAGUGCAGUUAGAUUAAUAUAUAUAUAUUUUUUAUAUAUAUUUUUUUUUAUUUGAUUCUGGUAAUCAAAAAAUGAACAUAGUGAGGCCAAAUGAAGAUGAACUACUUCUUUAAUUUUUAACUAGAAAUCCAGUUAAUCAAGACUUUUAAAGUGCUGAAUAUUUGUUUAACAAGACCUUUGAAUGUUUUGAAAUAAUGUUUAAUAAGUUUUGAAGUCAAAGACAGAUAGAUAGAACGAUA